UACGUAGGGCGCGAGCGUUGUCCGGAUUUAUUGGGCGUAAAGAGCUCGUAGGCGGCUUGUCGCGUCGUCCGUGAAAACCCACAGCUUAACUGUGGGCGUGCGGGCGAUACGGGCAGACUGGAGUACUGCAGGGGAGACUGGAAUUCCUGGUGUAGCGGUGGAAUGCGCAGAUAUCAGGAGGAACACCGGUGGCGAAGGCGGGUCUCUGGGCAGUAACUGACGCUGAGGAGCGAAAGCGUGGGGAGCGAACAGG
rnacentral:rRNA from 1 species